GUAAGGGUUGAGUACCACACAGAACAUUCUCUGAACGGCCUCAAUGCUGAAGCUAGGAAGAACUAAAUUAAAAGAAACAUGUUCAACAGGAUUGCCUCUCACUGAACUAUACAACCUGCAAAAUUCAAUCUCUCUGUUAAUGAGAUGAGAAGAGAAUAUCUGAGCCCUGUGUUGACAGUGCCAGGCCCCCACUUCCAGGUCCCCACUGCCAGGCUGGGUGAAAUGCCAGAGCAAUCACCAGGAACAAAGACUAGGGUGAAGAGGAUUAGGAGACAACUGUCACGACCUCACACUAGUGCACCUG
rnacentral:lncRNA from 1 species